rnacentral:rRNA from 1 species
GACGAACGCUGGCGGCGUGCUUAACACAUGCAAGUCGAACGCUGAAGCUUGGUGCUUGCACUGGGUGGAUGAGUGGCGAACGGGUGAGUAAUACGUGAGUAACCUGCCCUUGAUUCUGGGAUAAGCCUGGGAAACUGGGUCUAAUACUGGAUACGACAUGUCACCGCAUGGUGGUGUGUGGAAAGGGGUUUACUGGGUUUGGAUGGGCUCGCGGCCUAUCAGCUUGUUGGUGGGGUAAUGGCUCACCAAGGCGACGACGGGUAGCCGGCCUGAGAGGGUGACCGGCCACACUGGGACUGAGACACGGCCCAGACUCCUACGGGAGGCAGCAGUGGGGAAUAUUGCACAAUGGGCGGAAGCCUGAUGCAGCGACGCCGCGUGCGGGAUGACGGCCUUCGGGUUGUAAACCUCUUUCAGCACGGAAGAAGCGAAAGUGACGGUACGUGCAGAAGAAGCGCCGGCUAACUACGUG